rnacentral:rRNA from 1 species
AUUGAACGCUGGCGGCAGGCCUAACACAUGCAAGUCGAACGAGUGGCGGACGGGUGAGUAAUGUCUGGGAAACUGCCUGAUGGAGGGGGAUAACUACUGGAAACGGUAGCUAAUACCGCAUACCAUCAGAUGUGCCCAGAUGGGAUUAGCUAGUGGGAGGGGUAACGGAUCACCAAGGCGAAGAUCCCUAGCUGGUCUGAGAGGAUGACCAGCCACACUGGAACUGAGACACGGUCCAUACGCAUACGUGAGGCAGCAGGGGGGAUGAGUGCACAAUGGGCGCAAGCCGGAUGCAGCCAUGCCGCGUGUAUGAAGAAGGCCUUAGGGUUGUAAAGUACUUUCAGCGGGGAGGCGUUACUCGCAGAAGAAGCACCGGCUAACUCCGUGCCAGCCGCCGCGGUAAUAC